UAGGCUGGUGCAAAAGUAAUUGUGGUUUUUGCAAUUUAAUCACAAAAACCGCAAUUACUUUUGCACUAACCUA
ensembl:miRNA